AGAACGAACGCUGGCGGCAGGCCUAACACAUGCAAGUCGAACGCCCCGCAAGGGGAGUGGCAGACGGGUGAGUAACACGUGGGAACAUACCCUUCGGUUCGGAAUAACUCAGGGAAACUUGAGCUAAUACCGGAUACGUCCGCGAGGAGAAAGAUUCAUCGCCGGAGGAUUGGCCCGCGUCCGAUUAGCUAGUUGGUGAGGUAACGGCUCACCAAGGCGACGAUCGGUAGCUGGUCUGAGAGGAUGAUCAGCCACAUUGGGACUGAGACACGGCCCAAACUCCUACGGGAGGCAGCAGUGGGGAAUAUUGGACAAUGGGCGAAAGCCUGAUCCAGCCAUGCCGCGUGAGUGAUGAAGGCCCUAGGGUUGUAAAGCUCUUUCGUCAGGGACGAUAAUGACGGUACCUGAAGAAGAAGCCCCGGCUAACUUCGCGCCAGUAGCCGC
rnacentral:rRNA from 1 species